rnacentral:rRNA from 1 species
AAUCCUGGCUCAGGAUGAACGCUGGCGGCGUGCUUAACACAUGCAAGUCGAACGAAGCACUUAAGAUUGAUUCUUCGGAUGAAGUCUUUUGUGACUGAGUGGCGGACGGGUGAGUAACGCGUGGGUAACCUGCCUCAUACAGGGGGAUAACAGUUAGAAAUGACUGCUAAUACCGCAUAAGCGCACAGGGUCGCAUGACCUGGUGUGAAAAACUCCGGUGGUAUGAGAUGGACCCGCGU